rnacentral:rRNA from 1 species
AGCGUACGCUGGCGGCAGGCCUAACACAUGCAAGUCGAGCGCCGUAGCAAUACGGAGCGGCAGACGGGAGAGUAACACGUGGGAACGUGCCCUUCAGUUCGGAACAACCCAGGGAAACUUGGGCUAAUACCGGAUACGUCCGUAAGGAGAAAGAUUUAUCGCUGAAGGAUCGGCCCGCGUCUGAUUAGCUAGUUGGUGAG